rnacentral:rRNA from 1 species
GAGGCAAUCGAGGGGGGGGCAGUCGCAGCAAUUUGUCGUAAUAGCGAAGGCACCUAUCUGGGAUCGUCGGCGGUGGUUUAUCAGGGCAUCACGGACCCGUUAAUUCUUGAGACGUAUGCAUGCAGAUAAGCGCUAUCGUUAGCGGAGGACUUGGCCAUUCAGAGUUUCACGAUGGCCUCAGAUUGCCAGGGAGCCAUUACUGAUAUCAACAUGGGGACGAGAGGGCCUCAUGCAGCUAUAGUACAUGAAAUUAUGGCGCGGAGAUCCAGUUUUACUUUAUGUACUUUGUUUUUGAGCGUAGAAAUUAUAACUUCGAAGCUCACAAUCUUGCCAAGUUUGCUUGUAAUUUAG